rnacentral:rRNA from 1 species
AUUGAACGCUGGCGGCAUGCCUUACACAUGCAAGUCGAACGGUAACGGGCCUUCGGGUGCCGACGAGUGGCGAACGGGUGAGUAAUGUAUCGGAACGUACCUUUCAGUGGGGGAUAACGUAGCGAAAGUUACGCUAAUACCGCAUAUUCUGUGCGCAGGAAAGCAGGGGAUCGCAAGACCUUGCGCUGAUUGAGCGGCCGAUAUCAGAUUAGCUAGUUGGUGAGGUAAAGGCUCACCAAGGCGACGAUCUGUAGCGGGUCUGAGAGGAUGAUCCGCCACACUGGAACUGAGACACGGUCCAGACUCCUACGGGAGGCAGCAGGUGGGGAAUUUUGGACAAGUGGGGGCAACCCUGAUCCAGCCAUGCCGCGUGCGGGACGAAGGCC